rnacentral:rRNA from 1 species
AUCGCUAAAAGCACUCUUAGUUCGGAUUGAAAUCUGUAACUCGAUUUUAUGAAGUUGGAAUCGCUAGUAAUCGUAAAUCAGAAUGUUACGGUGAAUACGUUCUCGAGCCUUGUACACACCGCCCGUCACACCAUGGAAGUAAAUUGUAUCAUAAAUAAUUUCAUUAUUAUGACGGUAUGAUUUGUAACUGGGGUGAAGUCGUAACAAGGUA